rnacentral:rRNA from 1 species
GAUGAACGCUGGCGGCGUGCCUAAUACAUGCAAGUCGAGCGGUAAGGCUUUCACAGAUUAUUUGAACGGAACAGUCCAAUGCAAAUUGGAUACUUUCUUUCAACGUUAACUCCUGGCUAGGAGUGAGCGGUCGAAUAAUGCGUGAAAGUACACGAGCGGCGGACGGCUGAGUAACGCGUAGGAACGUACCCCAAAGUGAGGAAUAAGCACCGGAAACGGUGUCUAAUGCCGCAUGUGCUCUAAGGAGUAAAGGAUUUAUCCGCUUUGGGAGCGGCCUGCGUGUGAUUAGUUUGUUGGUGAGGUAAAAGCUCACCAAGACUACGAUCAUUAGCUGGUCUGAGAGGAUGAUCAGCCAGACUGGGACUGAGACACGGCCCAG